UACAGAGACUGCAAGCGUUAUUCGGAUUCACUGGGCGUAAAGGGUGCGCAGGCGGCCAAGUGGGUUAGGCGUGAAAGCCUGGGGCUUAACCCCAGAAUUGCACCUAAAACUACAUGGCUAGAGCAUUGGAGAGGGUAGCGGAAUUCACGGUGUAGCAGUGAAAUGCGUAGAUAUCGUGAGGAACACCAGAGGCGAAGGCGGCUACCUGGACAAUUGCUGACGCUCAGGCACGAAAGCGUGGGGAGCAAAAGGG
rnacentral:rRNA from 1 species